rnacentral:rRNA from 1 species
GAUCCUGAAACCGCAUGCAUACAAGCAGUGGGAGCACCUUCGUGGUGUGACUGCGUACCUUUUGUAUAAUGGGUCAGCGACUUAUAUUCAGUAGCAAGGUUAACCGUAUAGGGGAGCCGUAGAGAAAUCGAGUCUUAAUAGGGCGUUUAGUUGCUGGGUAUAGACCCGAAACCAGGCGAUCUAUCCAUGAGCAGGUUGAAGGUUGGGUAACACUAACUGGAGGACCGAACCCACUGUCGUUGAAAAGCCAGGGGAUGACUUGUGGAUAGGGGUGAAAGGCUAAUCAAGCCUGGUGAUAGCUGGUUCUCCCCGAAAGCUAUUUAGGUAGCGCCUCGGACGAAUACCAUAGGGGGUAGAGCACUGUUUCGGCUAGGGGGUCAUCCCGACUUACCAAACCGAUGCAAACUCCGAAUACCUAUGAGUACUAUCCGGGAGACAGACUGCGGGUGCUAACGUCCGUAGUCAAGAGGAAAACAAUCCAGACCGCCAGCUAAGGCCCCAAAAUCAUAGUUAAGUGGGAAACGAUGUGGGAAGGCAUAGACAGCUAGGAGGUUGGCUUAGAAGCAGCCACCCUUUAAAGAAAGCGUAAUAGCUCACUAGUCGAGUCGGCCUGCGCGGAAGAUGUAACGGGGCUAAAACUAUGUGCCGAAGCUGCGGAUGUAUACUUUGUAUACGUGGUAGGGGAGCGUUCUGUAAGCCGAUGAAGGUGUGUUGAGAAGCAUGCUGGAGGUAUCAGAAGUGCGAAUGCUGACGUGAGUAACGACAAAACGGGUGAAAAACCCGUUCGCCGAAAGACCAAGGGUUCCAGUCCAACGUUAAUCGGGGCUGGGUGAGUCGACCCCUAAGGCGAGGCCGAAAGGCGUAGUCGAUGGGAAAAUGGUUAAUAUUCCAUUACUUCUGUGUAAUGCGAUGAGAGGACGGAGAAGGCUAAAUCAGCCUGGCGUUGGUUGUCCAGGUGAAAGGAUGUAGGCAUGUAUCUUAGGCAAAUCCGGGGUACUCUAUGCUGAGAUCUGAUAGCAAGCUGUACUUGUACAGCGAAGUGGUUGAUGCCAUGCUUCCAGGAAAAGUCUCUAAGCUUCAGUUACACAGGAAUCGUACCCGAAACCGACACAGGUGGUCAGGUCGAGUAGACCAAGGCGCUUGAGAGAACUCUGCUGAAGGAACUAGGCAAAAUGGUACCGUAACUUCGGGAGAAGGUACGCUGUUGUUGGUGAUGGAACUCGCUUCCUGAGCUGACGACAGCCGCAGAAACCAGGCCGCUGCAACUGUUUAUUAAAAACAUAGCACUCUGCAAACACGAAAGUGGACGUAUAGGGUGUGAUGCCUGCCCGGUGCUGGAAGGUUAAUUGAUGGGGUUAGCGUAAGCGAAGCUCUUGAUCGAAGCCCCAGUAAACGGCGGCCGUAACUAUAACGGUCCUAAGGUAGCGAAAUUCCUUGUCGGGUAAGUUCCGACCUGCACGAAUGGCAUAAUGAUGGCGGCGCUGUCUCCAGCAGAGGCUCAGUGAAAUCGAAAUCGCUGUGAAGAUGCAGUGUACCCGCGGCUAGACGGAAAGACCCCGUGAACCUUUACUGCAGCUUGACACUGAACUUUGACCUUACUUGUGUAGGAUAGGUGGGAGGCUUUGAAGCUGGAACGCUAGUUCCAGUGGAGCCGUCCUUGAAAUACCACCCUGGUAAUGUUGAGGUUCUAACUCUGUCCCGUGAUCCGGGACGAGGACCGUGUCUGGUGGGUAGUUUGACUGGGGCGGUCUCCUCCUAAAGAGUAACGGAGGAGUACGAAGGUGCGCUCAGCGUGGUCGGAAAUCACGCGUAGAGUAUAAAGGCAAAAGCGCGCUUAACUGCGAGACCCACAAGUCGAGCAGGUACGAAAGUAGGUCUUAGUGAUCCGGUGGUUCUGUAUGGAAGGGCCAUCGCUCAACGGAUAAAAGGUACUCUGGGGAUAACAGGCUGAUACCGCCCAAGAGUUCAUAUCGACGGCGGUGUUUGGCACCUCGAUGUCGGCUCAUCUCAUCCUGGGGCUGAAGCAGGUCCCAAGGGUAUGGCUGUUCGCCAUUUAAAGAGGUACGCGAGCUGGGUUUAGAACGUCGUGAGACAGUUCGGUCCCUAUCUACCGUGGGCGCUGGAAAUUUGAGAGGAUCUGCUCCUAGUACGAGAGGACCAGAGUGGACGAACCUCUGGUGUACCGGUUGUGACGCCAGUCGCAUCGCCGGGUAGCUAUGUUCGGAAGGGAUAACCGCUGAAAGCAUCUAAGCGGGAAGCCUACCUCAAGAUAAGAUUUCCCUAGGACUUUAUGUCCUCUAAAGAGCCGUUCGAGACUAGGACGUUGAUAGGUUGGAUGUGGAAGCAUAGUGAUAUGUGAAGCUGACCAAUACUAAUUGCUCGUGAGGCUUGACUAU